rnacentral:rRNA from 1 species
AUUGAACGCUGGCGGCAGGCCUAACACAUGCAAGUCGAACGGUAACAGGAAACAGCUUGCUGUUUCGCUGACGAGUGGCGGACGGGUGAGUAAUGUAUGGGAAACUGACUGAUGGAGGGGGAUAGCUACUGGAAACGGUAGCUAAUACCGCAUAACGUCGCAAGACCAAAGAGGGGGACCUUCGGGGCUCUUGGCGUAGGCUGGGCCCAGAUGGGAUUAGCUAGUUGGUGGGGUAACGGCUCACCUAGGCGACGAUCCCUAGCUGGUCUGAGAGGAUGAACAGCCACACUGGAACUGAGACACGGUCCAGACUCCUACGGGAGGCAGCAGUGGGGAAUAUUGCACAAUGGGCGCAAGCCUGAUGCAGCCAUGCCGCGUGUAUGAAGAAGGCCUUCGGGUUGUAAAGCACUUUCAGCGGGGAGGAAGGGAAGAAAGUUAAUACCUUUCCUCAUUGACGUUACCCGCAGAAGAAGCACCGGCUAACUCCGUG